ensembl:lncRNA
AUGGCUGCAUUAGUGGGGCUCCAAGCCAGUUCUCCAGACCUCAUGAAAAGAUGGCACAUUGGUCUUCCAGCGCCUACAAGGAAGCUGUUCCGAGAAAAUGGUCGUGACUUCAACUCAAAGGUGUCCGGGAGCUUUGGCCACUGCACUUGUUCGGAUCAGCCAGCUUCCACGGGAAGCAGCAGGAUGAUAGAUUGCUGCUGCGGGCUGAGGUCUGCACACAAACCAUUUUUUCUCCACGAGGUUCAAACAUUUUCACUCCAUCUGAGGCUUGGAUCCAGGUACUCCAGCCUGAAAGCCAGAGAUGCUGGAAAAGGCUCAACAUCAGACCUCAGGAACGGGGGCUCAGAUUCUUCUGUUCCCCAGCCUCGGGCGGUGGUGGGAAAGAUCUCCCCACAGCCAGGCACCCGGGAAGCCUUCAGCCGCUGCCGGCAUUGGCGCGGAAAGCGAGAAGACAUUUACUUCCAGGAACAGAUGCAAACACAGGGAAUUGCCAAUUGGCCAAAAUCAAAUAAGACCUGACCUCUGAUGAACUGGAGCCUUAAUACUUUCAAACAACCCUGCACUCAAUAUUAGCAAUGUAAUAGUUUACCUUGGAGACAUGAGGGCUGAAGGAGAAACGAAACCCAGAGCUGCCGGAGCUGUUUCAUUCCCGCUGUUUCUAUUAUUGAUAACAAGCCAGCAAAACCCCACGAGGCCCUUGAGCUUUAGGAGAGCUUGCCUACACCUUUUCCCCAAGGCUUCAUGCCAAAACACCCCAAAACCUAAGAGCUGUGUUUUAUCAGAACACCUGAACCUCUUCAAAUACAGAAUGAGACAGAAUAGGAAUGUUCUUCCCCGGGAGGUGGAUCCUUCCUUGUGGGUUUGCUUUCAAUUCCACAGACCCCCAGCAAUCCCCUGGGUAACUGCAUAGCCUUGCUGUCCCCAGAAAUCCGCCUUUCUUUCCUUUGAAGGGGAGCAGACACCCACAGGGAACAAACCCUAAGUUAGAAAUAAUGGGAGUCGUUUGAAAAAAACACCACCUGAGUCUGAAUAUAAUCACAAGGAAAAAAUGGGAACUGUUAUCUGCAAUACACCCCCCCCUCCCAAUCAAAUUAAUACCCCGGACCAGAGCCUUGUCCAGAAGCAGUGUAAAUAUCUCAGCAACCCAUUACCUUGUUAAUUGGAUCACUCCAAGCUUUUUGGAACCAGUCUAAAGCACAGGCAAAUCCAUUAAAAAAUGGAUUUCUGAUUUCUCUAUAGCUGUCUCUAGCUUUAGUCCUUUUUCUAUUAAACGUUGGCUAGAAUAGAUUCACCUGUUACCUUAACUUUUUCCCAACAAAGUGUUUCCUACAUUUUUGAUGCGUGUUCCUCUUCCUUCCCUCGAGCGUCCUGGGGCCACCAUGACAGGGGACCCAGCUGGGGCCCUGGAUGUGGGUCUGUCACCCGCUUUCUGCCACUACCCCAGGAGGAAACGGGGUGCUGCUGGUGGUUACGGACCCCUGGCAUUUCCCUUGCCGUGGGUGCUGUUGGGGCACCCUGGAAGCAAUAAACCUCCUCCGGCUGAAAUCUGCA